rnacentral:rRNA from 1 species
AGAGUUUGAUCCUGGCUCAGGACGAACGCUGGCGGCGUGCCUAAUACAUGCAAGUAGAACGCUGAAGAGAGGAGCUUGCUCUUCUUGGAUGAGUUGCGAACGGGUGAGUAACGCGUAGGUAACCUGCCUUGUAGCGGGGGAUAACUAUUGGAAACGAUAGCUAAUACCGCAUAACAAUGGAUGACACAUGUCAUUUAUUUGAAAGGGGCAAUUGCUCCACUACAAGAUGGACCUGCGUUGUAUUAGCUAGUAGGUGAGGUAACGGCUCACCUAGGCGACGAUACAUAGCCGACCUGAGAGGGUGAUCGGCCACACUGGGACUGAGACACGGCCCAGACUCCUACGGGAGGCAGCAGUAGGGAAUCUUCGGCAAUGGACGGAAGUCUGACCGAGCAACGCCGCGUGAGUGAAGAAGGUUUUCGGAUCGUAAAGCUCUGUUGUAAGUCAAGAACGAGUGUGAGAGUGGAAAGUUCACACUGUGACGGUAGCUUACCAGAAAGGGACGGCUAACUACGUGCCAGCAGCCGCGGUAAUACGUAGGUCCCGAGCGUUGUCCGGAUUUAUUGGGCGUAAAGCGAGCGCAGGCGGUUUGAUAAGUCUGAAGUUAAAGGCUGUGGCUCAACCAUAGUUCGCUUUGGAAACUGUCAAACUUGAGUGCAGAAGGGGAGAGUGGAAUUCCAUGUGUAGCGGUGAAAUGCGUAGAUAUAUGGAGGAACACCGGUGGCGAAAGCGGCUCUCUGGUCUGUAACUGACGCUGAGGCUCGAAAGCGUGGGGAGCGAACAGGAUUAGAUACCCUGGUAGUCCACGCCGUAAACGGUGGACGCUGGAUGUGGGGCACGUUCCACGUGUUCCGUGUCGGAGCUAACGCGUUAAGCGUCCCGCCUGGGGAGUACGGCCGCAAGGCUAAAACUCAAAGAAAUUGACGGGGGCCCGCACAAGCGGCGGAGCAUGCGGAUUAAUUCGAUGCAACGCGAAGAACCUUACCUGGGCUUGACAUGUUCCCGACGACGCCAGAGAUGGCGUUUCCCUUCGGGGCGGGUUCACAGGUGGUGCAUGGUCGUCGUCAGCUCGUGUCGUGAGAUGUUGGGUUAAGUCCCGCAACGAGCGCAACCCUUAUUGUUAGUUGCCAUCAUUUAGUUGGGCACUCUAGCGAGACUGCCGGUGACAAACCGGAGGAAGGUGGGGAUGACGUCAAAUCAUCAUGCCCCUUAUGACCUGGGCUACACACGUGCUACAAUGGUUGGUACAACGAGUUGCGAGUCGGUGACGGCAAGCUAAUCUCUUAAAGCCAAUCUCAGUUCGGAUUGUAGGCUGCAACUCGCCUACAUGAAGUCGGAAUCGCUAGUAAUCGCGGAUCAGCACGCCGCGGUGAAUACGUUCCCGGGCCUUGUACACACCGCCCGUCACACCACGAGAGUUUGUAACACCCGAAGUCGGUGAGGUAACCUUUUGGAGCCAGCCGCCUAAGGUGGGAUAGAUGAUUGGGGUGAAGUCGUAACAAGGUAGCCGUAUCGGAAGGUGCGGCUG